GAUGAACGCUAGCUACAGGCUUAACACAUGCAAGUCGAGGGGAAACGACAUCGAAAGCUUGCUUUUGAUGGGCGUCGACCGGCGCACGGGUGAGUAACGCGUAUCCAACCUGCCCACCACUUGGGGGAUAACCUUGCGAAAGUAAGACUAAUACCCAAUGAUAUCUCUAGAAGACAUCUGAAAGGGAUUAAAAGAUUUAUCGGUGAUGGAUGGGGAUGCGUCUGAUUAGCUUGUUGGCGGGGUAACGGCCCACCAAGGCAACGAUCGGUAGGGGUUCUGAGAGGAAGGUCCCCCACAAUGGAACUGAGACACGGUCCAUACUCCUACGGGAGGCAGCAGUGAGGAAUAUGGUCAAUGGGCGGAAGCCUGAACCAGCCAUGCCGCGUGCGGGAAGGAGGCCCUAUGGGCUGUGAACCGCUUUUGCCUGGGGGCAAUAAGGGCGUCGCGCACGUCCGAU
rnacentral:rRNA from 1 species